AGUGAACGCUGGCGGUAGGCCUAACACAUGCAAGUCGAACGGCAGCACAGUAAGAGCUUGCUCUUACGGGUGGCGAGUGGCGGACGGGUGAGGAAUACAUCGGAAUCUACUUUUUCGUGGGGGAUAACGUAGGGAAACUUACGCUAAUACCGCAUACGACCUACGGGUGAAAGCAUGGGAUCUUCGGACCUUGCGCGAUUGAAUGAGCCGAUGUCGGAUUAGCUAGUUGGCUGGGUAAAGGCCCACCAAGGCGACGAUCCGUAGCUGGUCUGAGAGGAUGAUCAGCCACACUGGAACUGAGACACGGUCCAGACUCCUACGGGAGGCAGCAGUGGGGAAUAUUGGACAAUGGGCGCAAGCCUGAUCCAGCCAUACCGCGUGGGUGAAGAAGGCCUUCGGGUUGUAAAGCCCUUUUGUUGGGAAAGAAAAGCAGCAGGUUAAUACCCCGCUGUUCUGACGGUACCCAAAGAAUAAGCACCGGCUAACUUCGUG
rnacentral:rRNA from 1 species